AUCGCUGGGCUGGGAAUCCCAAACGGCUGUUACUCGCCGGAAGUUAUUCUGCGCUAAUAGCGGUCUAAACGCCGUCUGGUUCCUGGGGCGACGAGCUAUUCCUGGGGAGUAGGUGCCGGUCAGCCCUCCCUCAGCGCCCUUUGAUCUACGCAGAUCGGAUGGGGAAAGCUGCCCGCAUGUUCCAGGGAUGAGGGCAGAUUGGGAAGCGGGAGGGAGUGGACUUUGUCUAACUUUAUACCACUACCAAAGUGUGUUAAUGUAGCUUUAUAAUAAGUCUUGAAGUCCUGUAACUUAUUCUCCCAAGGUUGCUUUGUGUUAUUCCAGCGCCUUUGUAUUUCUAGAUGAAUUUUGGAAUUAGCUUGUUUAAAAUAAACAAAAACUACUGGGAUUUUUACUGGGCUUGCAUGGAUCUAUAGAUCUGUUUGGGGGAAACUAAUAUCUUAACAUUAAGUCCUUCAAUCCAUGAAUACCUUUCUUCCCCAACAUUUAUUUAAGUGGUCUUUAAUUUCUCCUGGCAAUGUUUUGUAGAUUGCACACAUAUCUAUAUUUUAAUGCAGCUGUGCUUGGAUAGAUUGCAGCAUAGAGGUAAUGCAUCUUUCAUUAGAUUUAUUCUUGAGUAUUUAGUACACAAUGUUAAAUGGCACUUUUUAAUAUUCGACUCAUAAAAAUAUAGAAAUACUAUUGAUUUUUACACACUGACCUUAUAUUCAAGCAUCUUGCUAAGUUCCCUUGUUAUUUGUAAUACUCUGCAGAUUCUUCCGGAAUUUGUGAUCAAAAUCUUGCAAUCCGUGAAUAAAGACAGUUUAA